rnacentral:tRNA from 1 species
GGAGGGUACAGCUCAGUGGCACAGCGCGUGCUUAGCACGCACGAGGUCCUGGGUUCGAUCCCCAGCACCUCCC